AAUACUAACAACUAGUUUACAGAGAAGUAAGUCUUUCUCCACCACUAUCUCUAUCUCUAUCUCUAUCUCUAUCUAUCUAGGAGCUCUGUAUGAGCAACUCUAUCACUAGCUCAUACAUCUCCACACACUACCUUCUAUCAAUAUUAUAUCAAGAAUCAAAUAGAUAUAAAAUUCAACACAAAAUGAUGUUGUUCUAACCUUCACAGAUAACAACAUAAUGAUACUAAUGUCUAGUAGUUUGGGGUUUUUCCCUUUUGUUUUUGGUGAUAUAUCUUUUUCUGUGAAAAACAGUGAUUGAAAGUCUAUUAGGGACUUCGUUGAUGCCAGUUAAGAAUUUCAUCAAUAUCACAAUCUACAUUAAUUGAGAUACUUUUCGCAGUGCAGCUGUCACAUUGUACUUUCCUGUAACCAAAAUUAGUCGGAUAAUCAGAUUUAGUAAUCUAACAACAGAUACUCGUACACUCGGGCAAGAAGCAAGAAAAUGGGACUCCGUUAAAUUGCUUAUUCAGACUGUUCUUCAGCGCUACUUAACUGAAAUUUUGUCUACAAUAGUACUUGUGUUUCUGCUUCCAUAACUGAACUAUGGGAGGCGAGAUUGUUUAUAUUUGCCGCUUUGAUGUGCCUGCAUAAUAUGGAGUUCUGAUGUUUUUGUAUGUGAUGGACUAAUUUGCUGUUUUGAUCUGGGAUCUUCUCUGCUAUGAAAAGUUUUUGCUUUCUUUUACAUUCUUCAAAAGAUUUACUUGUACACGGCUUAGCUCUGAAAUUAAUAUGGUGAGCUGUUCAGCUGAUUUUGAUGUGAGGUUUUCAGACCAAAUAAAUGUAAAGGUGAUGCACAGUAGCUUGAAUUUACCUCAUAUGUAACUGGGCAUAAUUCUAUUUGUAACUAAAAGAGAAACAGAAAACAAUGCAAAAGAUUUUAACUCGAAUUUCUUGAUUGCAAUUGAGAAUAUUUUCACUGUG